AUGACUAAUCCCAGAUCUUUGGGAGGCCGAGUUGUGUGGAUCACCUGAGGUCAGGAGUUCGAGACCAGCCUGGCCAACAUGAUAUUAACUCCACAAAAAUUGGAAUUGCUAAGAGCCCAAAUACAACAAGAAUUAGAAACUCCAAUGAGAGAACGUUUUAGGAAUCUAGAUGAAGUAAGUAACUUAUGUUGUUUACUAUGCAUUUAUCCUCAUGGGAUCAAAGUCUUGAUGAAAAGCAUCAUUCCCCUACCCCAAAACCCUGCAGUAGUUCCCCCUUUUACUCAGUCAUUGCAGUGGCCUCUAAGGCUUCACAGGAUUGAACUCCCAUUACCUCUCUGAUCUCCUUUCCUUUUUCCACAUUGGCCUACUGAUGUUUCUUUGGCAUUCCAGAAUUGGUGCGUUUCUUUAUUUUUAUUUUUAAUUUUAUUUCUUUUUUAAUUUUUUUGCGACAGAGUCUGGCUCUGUUGCCCAGCCUGGAGUGCAGUGGCGUGAUCUCGGCUCACUUCAACCUCCGCCUCUCGGGUUCAAGCGAUUCUCUUGCUUCAGCCUCCCAAGUAGCUGGGAU
rnacentral:lncRNA from 10 species